rnacentral:rRNA from 1 species
AACGAACGCUGGCGGCAUGCCUAACACAUGCAAGUCGAACGAUGUCUUUCGGGGCAUAGUGGCGCACGGGUGCGUAACGCGUGGGAAUCUGCCCUUGGGUUCGGAAUAACCGUUGGAAACGACGGCUAAUACCGGAUGAAGUCGAUAAGACCAAAGAUUUAUCGCCUGUGGAUGAGCCCGCGUAGGAUUAGCUAGUUGGUGUGGUAAGAGCGCACCAAGGCGACGAUCCUUAGCUGGUCUGAGAGGAUGAUCAGCCACACUGGGACUGAGACACGGCCCAGACUCCUACGGGAGGCAGCAGUGGGGAAUAUUGGACAAUGGGCGCAAGCCUGAUCCAGCAAUGCCGCGUGAGUGAUGAAGGCCUUAGGGUUGUAAAGCUCUUUUACCCGGGAUGAUAAUGACAGUACCGGGAGAAUAAGCUCCGGCUAACUCCGUGCCAGCAGCCGCCGUAA